rnacentral:lncRNA from 1 species
UGGAAAAUAGGUGAUAAGGUAUGAAGUGAAAUACCUUCUCUCACUCUCAGUGACUGCUGUGGAAAGUAAACUUGGAAUUGAUAGCACAAAAUACAUUGUUCAUACACUUGUAUCGAGGAUUGGCUAUUUUUAAAGUUGAAUAACUAUUCAGAUUACGUAAAUUACAUUUUACGAGCAUUUUACACGUGCAGUUGAAUUAUUUUUGAAAAUAAUA